AGGCGGGUGUCUCCCCUCAGAGCGCUGCGCGCCCGCGGCCUGCGCGCGCCUCGCCUCCCCUCGCCUCCCCUCGCCUCCCCUCGCCUCACGGCGCCCCGGGCGCGAAGCGGCCGCUGCGGCCUGUCCCGGCCCGCCGAGCCGAGCCGAGCCGAGCCGAGCCGAGCGGGGCGGCCUCAGCCUCAGCCUCGGCCUCGGCGCCUUCCUGCCGGGCCCGGGGGUCGCGGGGCCGCUCGGGAGCCCGGGGCGUUUUCUCUGCUGACACCGCUGAGAGGAUUUCUGCCCGCUUUGGACAGACUGCAGGCUGUGCUGAUUGAUCAGAAUACAUCCUCCUCACUAACCAGAAUCUACGUUAGAAAAGUCUCAGAGCUACAUGGAACAGUUCCAGUGACUCUCAUCCCUCAAACUGCUCGCAGCUGUCUGCUACCUGGAUGUUACUGUCCAAAAGAGCUCAGCUGGCAGAAGGGAACCUCUGAGCACUUUGUGCCGUUAGCCAACUGAACUAGACCAGCUUCAUCAACAGUGCAGGCUGAGCCGGCUGCCCUGUUACUGAAGCGCCUAAGAUGUGCUCCCACUUUCCACUUCAGCAGAGGCUGUAGCAGCCUGUCAGCAACAUCCACGACUGCAAUCCCCAGCAAGACCCAAGAAAGACCUGUCGACCUGUGUAAGUAACCACUGAGGUACUUCUGUAAAAUUUUCUUGAAACACUUGGUCAAGACUUCUGCUGAAGACAGACCUAACAGGACAGAAGUUCUUCUGUUACCCUGUGGUACACCUGUGAAGACAGGUUGGUUGUAUAAGUGCCACUGUCAGCAGAGCAAAUCCGAUGAGUCACUUAAGAGAAAAGAGUAACUUCUUAAGAGGUAAGUUGAAAGUCACUUUUUUCUUUUAUAAAAAUCAAGACUCUCUUCUUGCAGACUUGCAAAAAAAUAAUAGAGAAGCAACCUCAAAUGUAACUUGGCUUUUAGUGGCUAAAUAUCAGAGCAAAUUUAAAGAGUUUAUUAAAAAUAAGGUGGGUUAAAAGUAACAUUACAUCAUAACUUUUAAUAGUUUAUGAAUAAUGUCAUGUACUCUCCAUUUUUGUUCAGUGAUUUCUAUAAAACAAUAGAAAAUUCAUGAGAGGAAACAAGCUGUAUCGAACGUUAACUUUAGAUGUCACCUUUGAUUUUGUAAAGUUUACAUUAAAACUGAAAAAUUCAGAUCCAUAUGUGAAUUCUUAUUUUAGCACUAUUUAUGGGGUACUGAAGUAGAAGAUGCUUUUUCAGACUCUUAAGCUUCAAUUGCAUGACAAAACAGCAUUUUAUACAAAUAGAGUAAUUGCAACAGUGGUAAUUCAAAGCUGCACAGUUACGUCAAUGGCAUUAAGUGUCAUUUGGGACACUACACACAGAAAAAUGGCCAGCAUUUGCCAUGCUGCCAACUAACUAUGGAAGUUCAUUUUCUUUUUUCAAAAUGCUGAAGAAAUAGGUAAAAAUGUUCAUAUUCACUGGGCAACAGGGAGAUGAAUUAUGAAAAUCUAGGACUUAACCCUAAAAUCCUUCCUAUUUGUUGCUGUGAGUUCUGGACUAUGGCUAUAUCAAAGAGAGAUUGGUAUGGAGUAAAGAGAAAACACUGGCCAGCCUAUGUGUAGGCUGUUCUUGUAUUUCACUUAAAAAUAUAAGCCAAUUACAUGGAAAAACAAAUCAGAGUGACGUGAAUUAGUGACAUUUGAUCACGUUUAACUACCAUGUAAGUGAAUAGAAAAAACAACAGAUGACAAACGCAUUUAAUCAUUCCUCUCCACCAAAACUAUCAAAAGAUUUCACUCACAUAUGAUUCUUCUUCCCCAUUUAUUUUAGACAAUAGCAAAACAUCAAGGGACCUGCAGUAUGAGUAAAGUUUCCCAAGAAAGCUCCACAACACGAUCCACCCCGAUGCCCCAAAACCCUAAUUCCUCCCCAAAAUAACAAGUAGCAUCCCAAAUCUUCUCAAAGAGCAUUCAAAUGCAGUAGGCAAUGGCCAAGCCCUCACUAAUGCAAAGUCAGCUCAAACUGCACAGAUUCUUACAUACAGAACUUAAUUUAUCCAAAAAACACCCUUCUAUUGCCCAUCGUGUAUAUUCUAUCAAAUGCUUUCUGUCUGUAUCAAAUCAGAGCUGUGGCAAAGAAGUCCCAACAGCCUGGGUUAAGUGGAUCAUAUUUAGUCACCAGAUGUUCAAGAGAAACCUCUGUGAUUAUGAAAUCCCUGUUAUCACCAUGAAUUAAUGUAAUAAAGGUCCCAACAAUGUGCUUAUUAAGUAAUGGCCGAUAUGGUAUUACAUGUCAAUAGUUUGACAUUUUCAGAAAAGGAAACUAUUAGCAGAUUCAUCUACAGGAGAAAAAAUUAAGCUUGUUCAAACCACAACCAUGCUAUGAAAAGAAGGCAAAGAAUAAGCAGCUCCAUGUUCUAGAAAACUGACUUAAUUUUUAAGUUUAAUACCUGUUACUGAUUAUAGCACUUCUGCCAUGUUUCAUUUGAAAUAAUACCUACCAAAAGGCACAAAAAUCCAAAACAGUAAGAAAAUAAUGCAUUUGGGAAUGUAGGAAAACAGUAAUAAGAAUUUUUAUGGUGUCAUUAUGAAAGCCAGUAAAGAUACUAUUACUGCCAAAAUCUGUAUGCUAAGGUUCCUUCUUACCUGUUUGUCCUCUGCGGUAUGCUUUAAGGGACUUAUGAUGCACCUCACUAAUGACAGUGAAACAUUAGUUAGUGAAACUGUUUAACAUCAGUCACUGAAAUAUUGUAUUAGAAUACUACCAGAAAGUGACUUUUCACAUAACCUGUUAGAUAUUUUUCUUAAAAAUGGAAAAGCAUCAAUUAUGUUGUAAUAAUUAGUUCAGUGUUUCCUUUAAAAACACCAUCCGUGUAGGAGAAAAAAUUGUUGCAUCAGAUCUACCAGAGAACAAGCCACAGAACGUGUUUAAACAACAUUACAAUGAAAUUUAGCUGAAGUCAAAACUUUCCUGAAUUUGCCUAAUAGCAUAUCAUCACUGAAGCCCAGAGUUUUGGUUUUACAAUUUUUCAGAUCACCUUUACAUAUAGAAAUAAGAUGUAUGCUAGCUUAUACUUAGCCACUGGGCUUUCUGCGCUAACUACAGGUAGGGGAUAUAGCUAGCUUUAUUAUAAUCAAGCUAAUGCUUCCACAUUACUGUUGUUGUAAGGUCAGGUAAACAACGCUAUCUAUCAAGAGUUAAGAUCUCCUAAAACAUAGAUCAGACUGGAAAGCUAGGAACAAAACUGUCAUGACACGGUACACCAUCGCUUCACAGAAACAUUUCCAAGGCAACUAACAGCAACCAGGUGUUGUUGGGCAGAAAAGAAGGGUAGAAGGGCAGCGUAACACCCAGCCUCUGCACUGACUGAAUCCUUUUGGGGAAGAGGGCAGUAAUCCCACAGCUAUAUUCGUAGCUGUAUGCAGACAUGAGUCAAGAUGGAAGAACCAUUCCUGUCUAGUACCAUUUCCAUCCGCAUCAUGUAUUUUUAUUUUAUUUCAAAACAGAAGCAAAACCAAGAAAAGAAAA